AUAAAAUCAUAAAAACAAAGAAUUGUGGCAGAAAUAAAAUGUAAU
rnacentral:guide_RNA from 1 species